rnacentral:rRNA from 1 species
AACGCUGGCGGUAGGCCUAACACAUGCAAGUCGAACGGCAGCACAGUAAGAGCUUGCUCUUACGGGUGGCGAGUGGCGGACGGGUAAGGAAUACAUCGGAAUCUACUUUUUCGUGGGGGAUAACGUAGGGAAACUUACGCUAAUACCGCAUACGACCUACGGGUGAAAGCAGGGGAUCUUCGGACCUUGCGCGAUUGAAUGAGCCGAUGUCGGAUUAGCUAGUUGGCGGGGUAAAGGCCCACCAAGGCGACGAUCCGUAGCUGGUCUGAGAGGAUGAUCAGCCACACUGGAACUGAGACACGGUCCAGACUCCUACGGGAGGCAGCAGUGGGGAAUAUUGGACAAUGGGCGCAAGCCUGAUCCAGCCAUACCGCGUGGGUGAAGAAGGCCUUCGGGUUGUAAAGCCCUUUUGUUGGGAAAGAAAAGCAGCAGGUUAAUACCCCGCUGUUCUGACGGUACCCAAAGAAUAAGCACCGGCUAACUUCGUG